rnacentral:lncRNA from 1 species
CAGUUGCUCGUUCUCAUUCAUCAACUUCGCAAUUUCAUCAGCUUUCGCCUAAGGAAAAACAGUAAUAUGUCAUCUCAUUGAAUGUUCAUAUUUAUAAACAAGAACUGAAAUUCAGGUCUAGCACACCAAGUGAAUUCUUUUUUCAAGUAUGCCGCAUAACAGUAAGUUUGGAUAAUGAGAAGUUAAGCACAUAAAGGGAAAAAUUAGUCAUCAACUUCGCAAUUUCAUCAGCUUUCGCCUAAGGAAAAACAGUAAUAUGUCAUCUCAUUGAAUGUUCAUAUUUAUAAACAAGAACUGAAAUUCAGGUCUAGCACACCAAGUGAAUUCUUUUUUCAAGUAUGCCGCAUAACAGUUAGUUUGGAUAAUGAGAAGUUAAGCACAUAAAAGGAAGAAUUAGUCCCAAUCUCCCAAAACCUAAUAUUUAUUCAUUGCCUUUGGA